GAUAUUAUCCCCUUGUAGUGUAGUUUAAUAGCUAUCUACAUAAUAACUUAAUAUAAAGUAUAAUAGUUUAUAUUUUAUAAUAUGACGUUAACAAUUUUGUUUAAUAUUUGAAAAUGUUAGUAUUAGUAAUAUUAGUAUAUGUGCUAAAGGAACUCGGCAAAAAACCACUCAACUGUUUAUCAAAAACAUAGCUAUAUGAAUUAAUAUAUAGUUAUUUCUGCUCAAUGAUUUAAAUAGCCGCAGUACUCUGACUGUGCAAAGGUAGCAUAAUCAGUUGGCUUUUAAUUAGAGUCUGGUAUGAACGAAAAUAUGGGUAGUAACUGUCUUAGCACAUUUUUUCGAACUUAUUAAACAAGUGCAAAUGCUUGUAAUUUAACAAUAGACGAGAAGACCCUAGAAACUUGGACAAGUUUUUGUUGGGGCGACAGAAUUACACUUAACUAAUCUUAUAAUACACGACGCGAUGUUGAAAGAAUAAGUUACUCUAGGGAUAACAGCAUAAUUUCAUUAGUUUGUGACCUCGAUGUUGGACUAGGUACUAUACCCUUAAGGCAAGGAUAUAUUAUGCUCUGUUCGAGCAAAAUUACCUACAUGAUCUGAGUUCAGACCGG
rnacentral:rRNA from 1 species